rnacentral:rRNA from 1 species
UUUUAUGGAGAGUUUGAUCCUGGCUCAGGAUGAACGCUGGCGGCGUGCCUAAUACAUGCAAGUCGAGCGAACGGACGAGAAGCUUGCUUCUCUGAUGUUAGCGGCGGACGGGUGAGUAACACGUGGAUAACCUACCUAUAAGACUGGGAUAACUUCGGGAAACCGGAGCUAAUACCGGAUAAUAUUUUGAACCGCAUGGUUCAAAAGUGAAAGACGGUCUUGCUGUCACUUAUAGAUGGAUCCGCGCUGCAUUAGCUAGUUGGUAAGGUAACGGCUUACCAAGGCAACGAUGCAUAGCCGACCUGAGAGGGUGAUCGGCCACACUGGAACUGAGACACGGUCCAGACUCCUACGGGAGGCAGCAGUAGGGAAUCUUCCGCAAUGGGCGAAAGCCUGACGGAGCAACGCCGCGUGAGUGAUGAAGGUCUUCGGAUCGUAAAACUCUGUUAUUAGGGAAGAACAUAUGUGUAAGUAACUGUGCACAUCUUGACGGUACCUAAUCAGAAAGCCACGGCUAACUACGUGCCAGCAGCCGCGGUAAUACGUAGGUGGCAAGCGUUAUCCGGAAUUAUUGGGCGUAAAGCGCGCGUAGGCGGUUUUUUAAGUCUGAUGUGAAAGCCCACGGCUCAACCGUGGAGGGUCAUUGGAAACUGGAAAACUUGAGUGCAGAAGAGGAAAGUGGAAUUCCAUGUGUAGCGGUGAAAUGCGCAGAGAUAUGGAGGAACACCAGUGGCGAAGGCGACUUUCUGGUCUGUAACUGACGCUGAUGUGCGAAAGCGUGGGGAUCAAACAGGAUUAGAUACCCUGGUAGUCCACGCCGUAAACGAUGAGUGCUAAGUGUUAGGGGGUUUCCGUCCCUUAGUGCUGCAGCUAACGCAUUAAGCACUCCGCCUGGGGAGUACGACCGCAAGGUUGAAACUCAAAGGAAUUGACGGGGACCCGCACAAGCGGUGGAGCAUGUGGUUUAAUUCGAAGCAACGCGAAGAACCUUACCAAAUCUUGACAUCCUUUGACAACUCUAGAGAUAGAGCCUUCCCCUUCGGGGGACAAAGUGACAGGUGGUGCAUGGUUGUCGUCAGCUCGUGUCGUGAGAUGUUGGGUUAAGUCCCGCAACGAGCGCAACCCUUAAGCUUAGUUGCCAUCAUUAAGUUGGGCACUCUAAGUUGACUGCCGGUGACAAACCGGAGGAAGGUGGGGAUGACGUCAAAUCAUCAUGCCCCUUAUGAUUUGGGCUACACACGUGCUACAAUGGACAAUACAAAGGGCAGCGAAACCGCGAGGUCAAGCAAAUCCCAUAAAGUUGUUCUCAGUUCGGAUUGUAGUCUGCAACUCGACUACAUGAAGCUGGAAUCGCUAGUAAUCGUAGAUCAGCAUGCUACGGUGAAUACGUUCCCGGGUCUUGUACACACCGCCCGUCACACCACGAGAGUUUGUAACACCCGAAGCCGGUGGAGUAACCUUUUAGGAGCUAGCCGUCGAAGGUGGGACAAAUGAUUGGGGUGAAGUCGUAACAAGGUAGCCGUAUCGGAAGGUGCGGCUGGAUCACCUCCUUUCUAA